rnacentral:lncRNA from 1 species
GUGUGACCAGCCCGCCUGCAGCCCGACCGGAGAGAAGCCCGUGUCGGCGGCGGUGGGUGCGGGAGGGAGGAGUGCGUUUAUCAGGCGGACGGUGACCGUUGGUCUGCGGUGGAGCCCGAGCUCUGGAGCACUACAGGCCCGAGCUUCAGAGCAGAGACAAGAGCCCAGAAAGGAGCAGAUGCUAGAUUUGCAAGAUCAGAAGCAGGUCUUGAUCCUCCUGCCCAGAAUGAACCAGACUUGAUGAUGAUGCCACCUUCAGGAGCCACCACACUGUGUGACAGUGGGGCAUUUGGGCCGUCCCUGGGAAGUACAGAUGCGCUGCUGUCACACAUGUCCACCACCACAUGUGACAUUAGUGACGUUAUCCUGACGUCACAGGAUCCAAGAAUGAUGAUCUGUGAAGAGUUUUCCGAGGUCACCUACUUCUAACUCUUUUGAAAGAUUUAAAGACAUUGGGCCUGAAAAUUUCAGUGUCUUGUCCAGGGAAACGCAGUUUGUGACAGUUCACUCUCUCACAGCUGAACCACAGUCCUCUGUACUCGCCCAGGAGCCACAGAAAGUGAACAUCCCUCAGG